rnacentral:rRNA from 1 species
UACGGAGGGUGCAAGCGUUGUCCGGAAUCACUGGGCGUAAAGGGCGCGUAGGCGGCUCAUGAAGGCUGUGGUGAAAGUCCGGGGCUCAACCUCGGAUCGGCCGUGGCGACUCGUGGGCUGGAGCACUGUAGAGGCGGGUGGAAUUCCGGGUGUAGCGGUGGAAUGCGUAGAGAUCCGGAAGAACACCAGUGGCGAAGGCGGCCCGCUGGGCAGUGGCUGACGCUGAGCGCGACAGCGUGGGGAGCAACAGG